rnacentral:lncRNA from 1 species
CGAAUAGGAACCUUCCAGCCCUGCCACGUGAUUUCUCGGACUGUCUGCAGAAAGACUGACCGUUGACUGACCAUCAUUUGCAGAGUUAAAUUUUUUUCCAGGAGAAGAAAGCUAUGAAAAAAUGUCAGAGCUGUGUUCCUUAUUGUUUUGUUAAUAUUUGCACCACAGAAACCCAGAGUCUCAAUCACGAAGCAAGACUGCUUUCUGUUUAGUGUUGCCUAAUAUGCAGAACAAGAAGAUGGCCUCUACCACAGCAAGCUUACAAGUGUCUACUUGCCAAAAGCGCUGUGUCCCUGGCUAACUGCCAGCUUUCAGAGUGUGUUGCAGGCAAUGCAGAGCUGAGACUGAGCUUGAGGGCAGAUUCUCAAGAGGAUUCCCAUCGUUGCAGUACUAACCUGCAUAAUUCUGAACUCUUCAUACCCAGAGGGCCAGAGCCAUUCACAACCCUGAAAUCCUGCAGAGGGAAUGUUAAAGCUUCAAAUAUUGCCAACACCAGGAUCAGCCAGUUGUACAGAAUAAUCUGCUUUGGUUUGCCAUUCAGAUAAGUCCAGCUUCAACUUCAAUGUUACCAAAUGCAACAUUAUAUGUCUAGGAACAGAGAAUGUAGGUCAAAUUGUCAAGCUGAGAGACUGUGUUCAAGAGAAUAUUGCCUCUGGAAAAGACUUUCAGGUCAUGCUGGAUAAUCAACCACCCAUGGACACCUUUGCAAAGCUCUG